rnacentral:rRNA from 1 species
UAGGGAAUCUUCGGCAAUGGACGAAAGUCUGACCGAGCAACGCCGCGUGAGUGAAGAAGGUUUUCGGAUCGUAAAACUCUGUUGUUAGAGAAGAACAAGGACGUUAGUAACUGAACGUCCCCUGACGGUAUCUAACCAGAAAGCCACGGCUAACUACGUGCCAGCAGCCGCGGUAAUACGUAGGUGGCAAGCGUUGUCCGGAUUUAUUGGGCGUAAAGCGAGCGCAGGCGGUUUCUUAAGUCUGAUGUGAAAGCCCCCGGCUCAACCGGGGAGGGUCAUUGGAAACUGGGAGACUUGAGUGCAGAAGAGGAGAGUGGAAUUCCAUGUGUAGCGGUGAAAUGCGUAGAUAUAUGGAGGAACACCAGUGGCGAAGGCGGCUCUCUGGGCUGUAACUGACACUGAGGCUCGAAAGCGUGGGGAGCAAACAGG